GAUGAACGCUGGCGGCGUGCCUAAUACAUGCAAGUCGAGCGAACAGAUGAGGAGCUUGCUCCUCUGACGUUAGCGGCGGACGGGUGAGUAACACGUGGAUAACCUACCUAUAAGACUGGGAUAACUUCGGGAAACCGGAGCUAAUACCGGAUAAUAUAUUGAACCGCAUGGUUCAAUAGUGAAAGACGGUUUUGCUGUCACUUAUAGAUGGAUCCGCGCCGCAUUAGCUAGUUGGUAAGGUAACGGCUUACCAAGGCAACGAUGCGUAGCCGGCCUGAGAGGGUGAUCGGCCACACUGGAACUGAGACACGGUCCAGACUCCUACGGGAGGCAGCAGUAGGGAAUCUUCCGCAAUGGGCGAAAGCCUGACGGAGCAACGCCGCGUGAGUGAUGAAGGUCUUCGGACCGUAAAACUCUGUUAUUAGGGAAGAACAAAUGUGUAAGUAACUAUGCACGUCUUGACGGUACCUAAUCAGAAAGCCACGGCUAACUACGUG
rnacentral:rRNA from 1 species